GCUUGUCUCAAAGAUUAAGCCAUGCAUGUCUAAGUAUAAACUGCUUAUACUGUGAAACUGCGAAUGGCUCAUUAAAUCAGUUAUAGUUUAUUUGAUGGUACCUACUACUCGGAUAACCGUAGUAAUUCUAGAGCUAAUACAUGCGUCAAACCUCGACUUCUGGGAGAGGUGUAUUUAUUAGAUGGAAACCAAUGCGGGGCAACCCGGUAUAUGGUGAUUCAUAAUAACUUUCGGAUCGAUCUUCGGAUCGAUGCAUCAUUCAAGUUUCUGCCCUAUCAGCUUUGGAUGGUAGGGUAUUGGCCUACCAUGGCUUUAACGGGUAACGGAGAAUUAGGGUUCGAUUCCGGAGAGGGAGCCUGAGAAAUGGCUACCACAUCCAAGGAAGGCAGCAGG
rnacentral:rRNA from 1 species